UAUGUGAUCGUCUCUCGCAUAUCAAUAAGCGGAGGAAAAGAAACUAACAAGGAUUCCCCUAGUAACGGCGAGUGAAGCGGGAAGAGCUCAAAUUUGAAAUCUUAAAGGGUUUCCCUUUACGAAUUGUAGUUUAAAGAAGUGUUUUCUGUUGAGGUUUUGGUAAAAGUUCUUUGGAAUAGGACAUCAUAGAGGGUGAGAAUCCCGUAUUUGACCUUUACUUUCAACUUUGUGACACACUUUCAAAGAGUCGGAUUGUUUGGGAAUGCAGUCCAAAAUGGGUGGUAAAUUUCAUCUAAAGCUAAAUAUUGGCGAGAGACCGAUAGCGAACAAGUACCGUGAGGGAAAGAUGAAAAGAACUUUGAAAAGAGAGUUAAACAGUACGUGAAAUUGUCAAAAGGGAAGCGUUUGACACCAGUGUUGUUUUUCUGAAAAUCAAUUAAAGAACUGUUUAUGCUAAGUUGUUUAGACUUUAUCAGCUAACUGUUUAGUUUUGAGCUUUUCUUUAAUGCACUUUUCAGUUAACAAGUCAACAUCAAUUUCUUUUGCUGUAAAAAAGCUUGAGGAAGGUGGCUUGAGAUUCGUCUUAAGUGUUUAUAGCCUCUUGCCUAUGCAGUCGGAGAGAUUGAGGUCUGCAGCGUAGAUCCUUCGGGGCUAAAUGCAUUUGUGCUAAGUUAUAGCAUUUUAUAGACAACUUGUUGACUAUGACUUGUCUUGUAGCUUACUCGCUUAUGUUAUUUUACCUACGCUUAGGAUGUUGAGCGCAUGUCUCUCUCU
rnacentral:rRNA from 1 species